rnacentral:lncRNA from 1 species
AGGCGUGUUCUUCCGUGUGGCAUGUUUCUCUGCGCUCUGUGCUCUCCUUUGGGAGCCGGCUGAAUGAUUGGUCUGAUUUGUUUUGAUCUCUGCUGCCAGGAGCCUUAGGGAAUUGCCAGCGAUCUACAACUUGGCAACAUGGUUUGUGAUUUCCACAUCAGAAAUGGAUUCCAGCUUUCCUCGUAUGUUUUGUUAACUGUGUGAUAGUGAACUAAGUUACUAACUGAAAAAGAUUCCACUUUUGUAAGCACAUGCUAUGUACCUAGGCCUUGAACUUGACUAUAAAAGCACACCCCUGCUUUUUAUUGAAUCGAUUUCUCUUUAUUUAUUCAAUUUACAUCCUGCUCACUGCCUUAAUCCCAGUCACCCUGUUUGCCCAAUUCUUCCCCCAGGUCCCCCUCCCCUUUU